UAAGGAAUAUUGGUCAAUGGGCGGAAGCCUGAACCAGCCAUGCCGCGUGCAGGAAGACGGCCCUACGGGUUGUAAACUGCUUUUAUACCGGAAUAAACCUCUCUACGUGUAGAGAGCUGAAUGUACGGUAAGAAUAAGGAUCGGCUAACUCCGUGCCAGCAGCCGCGGUAAUACGGAGGAUCCAAGCGUUAUCCGGAUUUAUUGGGUUUAAAGGGUGCGUAGGUGGCCUGUUAAGUCAGGGGUGAAAGACGGUAGCUCAACUAUCGCAGUGCCUUUGAUACUGACGGGCUUGAAUGAACUAGAGGUAGGCGGGAUGUGACAAGUAGCGGUGAAAUGCAUAGAUAUGUCACAGAACACCAAUUGCGAAGGCAGCUUACUACGGUUUUAUUGACACUGAGGCACGAAAGCGUGGGGGAUCAAACAGGA
rnacentral:rRNA from 1 species